GCCUCGGUGGCUCAGUCAGUUAAGCGUCUGACUUCGGCUCAGGUCAUGAUCUCACAGUUUGUGGGUUCGAGCCCCGCGUCAGGCU
rnacentral:tRNA from 1 species